rnacentral:rRNA from 1 species
GACGAACGCUGGCGGCAUGCCUAAUACAUGCAAGUCGAACGAUGAUAUCACUGCUUGCAGUGAUUGAUUAGUGGCGAACGGGUGAGUAACACGUGAGGAACUUGCCCAUGGGCGGGGGACAACAUUCGGAAACGGAUGCUAAUACCCCAUAGGUGGAUUGGUCGCAUGACGAAUUCAUUAAAGGUGGCUCUGCUACCACUCAUGGAUAGCCUCGCGGCGUAUUAGCUAGUUGGUAAGGUAAUGGCUUACCAAGGCAGUGAUACGUAGCCGACUUGAGAGGGUGAUCGGCCACACUGGGACUGAGACACGGCCCAGACUCCUACGGGAGGCAGCAGUAGGGAAUCUUCCACAAUGGGUGCAAACCUGAUGGAGCAAUGCCGCGUGAGUGAAGAAGGUCUUCGGAUCGUAAAGCUCUGUUGUUAGAGAAGAACACGUGCUAGGUAACUACUAGCGCCUUGACGGUAUCUAACCAGAAAGUCACGGCUAACUACGU